UACGGAGGGCGCUAGCGUUGUUCGGAUAUACUGGGCGUAAAGCGCACGUAGGCGGCGCCGUAAGUCAGGGGUGAAAUCCCGGAGCUCAACUCCGGAACUGCCCUUGAAACUGCAGUGCUAGAAUUCUGGAGAGGCGAGUGGAAUUCCGAGUGUAGAGGUGAAAUUCGUAGAUAUUCGGAAGAACACCAGUGGCGAAGGCGACUCGCUGGACAGACAUUGACGCUGAGGUGCGAAAGCGUGGGGAGCAAACAGG
rnacentral:rRNA from 1 species